CUCCACCUUGAUAAAGCUACUUUUAGGAAGUUUUUAAAAAGUCACUUUCUAUGGAGAUUGUCCUCUUAUAAAAGACAAAGUCGAGUUCAUUCGCAGACGCCACGUCUCAGAGAGAGGUCGGUGGGUGACAUCUGGGUCUCUGGUUCCAAAUUCUGCACCCUGGUGGAGCCUCCCCUACCUGCUUGGUACCUCCCUUUUGAAUCAAACUGGCCCUAGAGGACCCCACACGUUCCUUUUACUUGCAGACUCUCACCAGGACAAGUUUAGAGAGCCGCAAGGGUUCUCCUUAGGUAAAAGAACUGAGAAAUAAUAAAAGUAAACUGUUGUCUUUCUGUCAUUGUAGACAAAAGACAAGGAGCUUCCUGGGGCCGAGAACGCAAGGCCACGACGGCCGGUGCCCAGACUCUCUGCAUGGUGGGUUUGGCAAUCCUUUGUUUUCUGCUGGACCGCAGGAGACCUCUGAGAGCUCCAGGCGUCACUUAAAAAUGAACACACAGCACCCUUGCUUCUUGCUUCGGAUCCAAAACUGCAACCGGACUCUGAAUUUAUUCCGCGAGGCCGGAAGACGCCGGCGUGUUGCGGCGGGGCGUGUUCCAACCGGGGCACCCGCGCGUGACUGUCUCCUCGUCCUAACGGAGCGGUUAGGGCAGCAAGAGCAGAACGUGCCCGGGGGUGGACAACCGAGGAAGAGGUCAGCGACAAUCUUUGAAGGAUUCUGUCCACCUGCGGGCCAAACCCCAGCCGGCCCAGGCCAGGGCUGGUGCCUGGCCGCGGACGCGGGGGCCCGGAGCAGGUGCCGCGAUUGCCGAGAGCCGAGCGCCACCCAGCGGAAGCGAGAGGAACUCCCGCUUGUCCCGCGCCGGGGCCAGACGGAAAGGAGGGGCAGCCCGCAGGACCGCAAAAUCCCGAGACUCUGCGAGGAAGGGAAGAGGACACAUGUGACGACUCCAAAAGACCACUCCCGGCCUUGCCAGUCCACCCCUCUCCACCAACAAGGACACCGUAACCAGGCCCGGGAAAGCCUGCCUUGUCCCUGCCACAGAAACCCUCAUCUCGAGCUCCAACCUCACCCGGCCUCCCCACCCCUAAACGCAGCAGGCUGUGAGCAAAAUCUAAGCCGCGCUCCUCCAGGUACUGCCGUGUCUGCAGCUGGGUCUCGGCCUGCCGGCCUGGCUCCCGAACCGCCCCAAGGUUUCAGUCUCACAACCAAAGGACCGGCCACCUCAUAUUCUGCGAAGUGCGCAGACAGGACGAGAAGGGUCGGUCCCCACCUCAGCGUGCCCUCCUCCUGCUGUUCCCGUCUGCGUUUUCUACUGUAACUUGAAGUUGCUGGGGGGGCUCUGUGGCGCGCAGGCUGGUGCUUUUCCGUCGUUUCCUCAAACACGCGGACACCCCUCGGCCCCAGCACACAGUUCCUGGCAUCCACACUUAGGCCCCGCAGGAGCUGGAGGGUCCUCUACACACAUGAACUUUGUUCCCAAACACGGUGAAAGCCGCGGCCAGCUGCGUGCUGAACCGCGAAGAGGCUCUCCGCGCCGGCGGAGGCGGGAGGGCUGCCGGCGUGAACUGCCCAGGAGGCGCCCUAGGUGGGGUGCUCAACGCGCCUCCCCUGUCGUAACUGGUUUAGUCUAAGCCAUUUCAUGUAAAACCCACGAAGAAGAGGAAGCAUGCUACGGACAUAAAAUUUAAACCGCAAUAAUGAAAAGAUUUCCUAGAAUAAAAUGUCGACUACAGAACCAAA